rnacentral:rRNA from 1 species
AACGAACGCUGGCGGCGUGCCUAAUACAUGCAAGUCGAACGCAGUGGGGACGGGUGAGUAACACGUGGGUAACCUCCCAUCAGAGGGGAUAACACUUCGAAACAGGUGCUAAACCCAUACUGAUGGAUGGAACCGCGGUGCAUUAGCUAGUUGGUGAGGUAACGGCUCACCAAGGCCACGAUGCAUAGCCGACCUGAGAGGGUGACCGGCAACACUGGGACGGAGACACGGCCCAGACUCCUACGGGAGGCAGCAGUAGGGAAUCUUCGGCAAUGGACGAAAGUCUGACAGAGCAAUGCCGCGUGAGUGAAGAAGGGUUUCGGAUCGUAAAACUCUGUUGGUAGAGAAGCGGUAUAUAACCAGAAAGCAACGGCUAACUACGUGCCAGCCGCCGCGGUAAUAC